CCAAUAGCGUAUAUUAAAGUUGUUGCAGUUAAAAAGCUCGUAGUUGAACUUCAGGCCUGUCCAGAUGGUCCGCCUUAAUUGGUGUGUACUGUCCUUGGGUGGGUCCUACCUUCUGGCGAAGCGGCAUGGCCUUAGUUGGUUGUGUCGGGGAACCAGGACUUUUACUGUGAAAAAAUUAGAGUGUUCAAAGCAGGCAAAUAUGCUCGAAUACAUUAGCAUGGAAUAAUGGAAUAGGACGAUGGUUCUAUUUUGUUGGUUCUAGGACCGUUGUAAUGAUUAAUAGGGAUAGUUGGGGGCAUUAGUAUUCAAUUGUCAGAGGUGAAAUUCUUGGAUUUAUUGAAGACUAACUACUGCGAAAGCAUUUGCCAAGGAUGUUUUCAGUAAUCAAGAACGAAAGUUAGGGGAUCGAAGACGAUCAGAUACCGUCGUAGUCUUAACCAUAAACUAUGCCGACUAGGAAUCGGGCGAUGUUGACAAAAUGACUCGCUCGGCACCUCAUG
rnacentral:rRNA from 1 species